rnacentral:rRNA from 1 species
UCCCUAUCUGCCGUGGGCGUUGGAAGAUUGAAGGGGGCUGCUCCUAGUACGAGAGGACCGGAGUGGACGAACCUCUGGUGUUCGGGUUGUGUCGCCAGACGCAUUGCCCGGUAGCUAAGUUCGGAAUCGAUAACCGCUGAAAGCAUCUAAGCGGGAAGCGAGCCCUGAGAUGAGUCUUCCCUGACAGUUUAACUGUCCUAAAGGGUUGUUCGAGACUAGAACGUUGAUAGGCAGGGUGUGUAAGCGCUGUGAGGCGUUGAGCUAACCUGUACUAAUUGCCCGUGAGGCUUAACCAUACAACACCCAAAGGGUUUUG